rnacentral:ribozyme from 1 species
UGCCCAGCAACUCCUAUUCCUACCUCCACGUGGCCGGGAUACGAGUAACCUUGGGGAAGAUCGGGUAACCAUCCCCGGUGGGAGCUUUGGUCGUAUGCUGACAGGGAAGG